UGAUAUGGAGAAAAGAUAUUAUUUGCGUUCAAAACUAAUUUAGAUUUGGCAAAACAUAUACUGAAUUUUGAAUGUGUUGAUAAUCUUUCUAUUGGAAGUUUAAUAGUAAGAACAAAACUUGGAGACUGUAUAGCUGAAAAUCAUUCAAUAAAUUGGUUUGAUAAAAAAGCAUCUAGAACGGCCUCAGAGAUCUUGGUGGUUAGUGAUCAUCAAAUGGCAUAUAACACCAUCAAGAGUAGCAAAUAUUUAUAAUCACAUCAACGGCCUUGUUAAAUAGAGAAAACGCCAAUGAAAACAAAGAGACAGUCAUCGCUCUUUCAAAAGAAAAUAAAAGAAAAUCAGAAGAAGUAACUAGAAGGUUAUUUAGAUGUGAUCAGAAGUAGCUGGUUGUAAUAUCAUGGAUUAUCAUUGGGAAUCCGUCUGAUUUUUUUCAUCCUUUCACAUAAAAAAACCUCCAGUUCA